rnacentral:rRNA from 1 species
GAUGAACGCUGGCGGCGUGCUUAACACAUGCAAGUCGAACGAUGAAGCCCAGCUUGCUGGGUGGAUUAGUGGCGAACGGGUGAGUAACACGUGAGUAACCUGCCCUUGACUCUGGGAUAAGCCUGGGAAACUGGGUCUAAUACUGGAUAUGUCUUCUCAUCGCAUGGUGGGGGGUGGAAAGAUUUAUUGGUCUUGGAUGGACUCGCGGCCUAUCAGCUUGUUGGUGAGGUAAUGGCUCACCAAGGCGACGACGGGUAGCCGGCCUGAGAGGGUGACCGGCCACACUGGGACUGAGACACGGCCCAGACUCCUACGGGAGGCAGCAGUGGGGAAUAUUGCACAAUGGGCGCAAGCCUGAUGCAGCGACGCCGCGUGAGGGAUGACGGCCUUCGGGUUGUAAACCUCUUUCAGUAGGGAAGAAGCGAGAGUGACGGUACCUGCAGAAGAAGCGCCGGCUAACUACGUG